CCGAGAUUGCUUUCGCAUGCCUACCUACACGAAAGAAAUCCCGGUCAUCACUAUUUUCCAUGGCAUCUGCAGGCCCGGCCCCCGUCGCUGAAUGUCGUGCAGUCCCUUAGAGGCCACGCCCAAUCUCGCUCUGUUGACAAAAACGUUGACCGUCAGGUACCGGGCGCCAUAACAACAUAGUACUACGGGCGCAAAUGCAGUACCCUUGAACUCAGCCGUGGGUUUCAAAGUACACACAAAUGGGCCGGUCCCACCGCCUUUGCGUGGUCCUCAAGGGCAGGCUUCAUGUGACAAGUGACAUUGUUACUGUUGGUGUGAGGCAGUAAAAAAAUAAGCAUGGCUACAGAUAACAUUUGUGAAAUAUACUGGUACAAGAAUGGGCAAGGCAAAGAUGUAUGCUCUCUUGACUAUUCAUCAAAGCUGCUGCAGUCCAAAAAAUUUGAACGCCCUCCGGGAAUUCAUCCUGAAGCUAUUACCCGCAUAAAUCUGGAAAAAAAUGAGUUAAAAACUAUUCCAGCCGAAAUCUUUGACAUGCCAAAUUUGGAAGAGUUGGAUCUCAGGCACAAUUUCCUAACUGAGCUGCCAACAGAAAUCAGCAAGUUGCACAAGCUUAAAAAGCUCUGGGUGGCAAUGAAUUACAUCAGAAAAUUGCCAGACACCAUAUGUCAGAUGGAAAAUUUGGAGAGUCUGCAUCUCGGUUCAAAUGAGCUCAGAAACCUCCCCAAGAAAUUUGGCAACUUGGCAAAUUUGAAGGAGCUCUGGGUCAAUGAUAACUAUUUUGCCAGCUUUCCUCGUCAGA